UACGGAGGGGGCUAGCGUUGUUCGGAAUUACUGGGCGUAAAGCGCACGUAGGCGGCUUUGUAAGUCAGAGGUGAAAGCCCGGGGGCUCAACCCCGGAAUAGCCUUUGAGACUGCAUCGCUUGAACAUCGGAGAGGUAAGUGGAAUUCCGAGUGUAGAGGUGAAAUUCGUAGAUAUUCGGAAGAACACCAGUGGCGAAGGCGACUUACUGGACGAUUGUUGACGCUGAGGUGCGAAAGCGUGGGGAGCAAACAGG
rnacentral:rRNA from 1 species